CCUACGGGAGGCAGCAGUGGGGAAUAUUGGACAAUGGGCGAAAGCCUGAUCCAGCCAUGCCGCGUGUGUGAAGAAGGCCUUCGGGUUGUAAAGCACUUUCAGUGGGGAAGAAAGCCUUGGGGCUAAUACCCUCGAGGAAGGACAUCACCCACAGAAGAAGCACCGACUAACUCCGUGCCAGCAGCCGCGGUAAUACGGAGGGUGCGAGCGUUAAUCGGAAUUACUGGGCGUAAAGCGCGCGUAGGCGGUCUGAUAAGCCGGUUGUGAAAGCCCCGGGCUCAACCUGGGAACGGCAUCCGGAACUGUCAGGCUAGAGUGCAGGAGAGGAAGGUAGAAUUCCCGGUGUAGCGGUGAAAUGCGUAGAGAUCGGGAGGAAUACCAGUGGCGAAGGCGGCCUUCUGGACUGACACUGACGCUGAGGUGCGAAAGCGUGGGUAGCAAACAGGAUUAGAUACCCGAGUAGU
rnacentral:rRNA from 1 species